rnacentral:lncRNA from 1 species
UUUGUGAGACUCUGGUAGGUCCGUGACUGAGGGCACCCUUGUGGGAUGCUGAGUGUAGCCAUCAGGAAGCUGGGUCCCAGCCAACUCAGCCUGGGCUCUGCCGUUCUCCAGUGGUCAGAUAAGAAAGAGCGGUGUGGUCCUCUAAGGGAGUGAGCGAGUUGUAAAUGCUCUGUAGGACUGCAGCUGCUUUGAGCCCUGGCCAGAGCCUCCAAUCAACCUUUGGUUCUGAUAAAGACAAGAAACCCAAGCCCCUCCCUCCCCACUGCUGAUAUAACAGCAUGAAAUUAAACCUAUUCCAGUCUGUGACAUCUGAUCCCUUUGACAUGACAUAGUACAACCUGUAGAGCCAGAGGUGGGGGCCAGGAAGCCCUGUUCUAGUCUCUCUGCACAACCUUGAGCCAUCUCAUCAUCUGCACAUCUGCCUGAACCUCAGUCUCCCACUCUGGACGUUGUCGGGGUGAUGGAGCAAGCAUUCAGUUAUUCUCUGCUGGAUUCUGAUGUGGUCUAAAGUCCACACUUUGUUGUGAAACACCGCAAUCUGUGAUGUACAGAACCUAUUACUGCGGCCACCCAGGAAUGCUGGGGGCAGGCCUUUUGAGAAGGUGAAUCAGCGUGUGUUAGCUCAGGGCAGAGGGCCUGGCGGUGAGACGUGAGAACAGCCAAUGUCAUGGCGGUGGGGGAGUGGACGUGAGCCAUCUGGGGCCCAGCAAACAGCAUGUUGAAAAAAACGAGGAACUCAAAGGCAGAUGAGCCUACCACGCUGGGAACAGUUGGGAGUACAUUGCUCAAGCCCCGGCCAGUUUUAUGUCACUGCUGGUGUGAAGCAGUGAACAGUGACCCAGCAUGCAUCCAGGUGGCGGGACAGAGUCAGACUCUCCAGGGCAGAGAGACUCUAAAACUGACGGCCAGGUCUUGCUCAGACUACGGGCCUGAGGGAAGAUCCAAGACUGAAACAGGGCUUGGAAUGGAGGGGGUGGAGUUGAGGAGAUCACAGAGGACCUAGGAGUGUGUGUAUCGGAGAGAGAUAGGAAACCACUGACCGUUCAGCACACAUUCAGAAUUACUGCCUGUCCCAGGGAGGGACCCACAGCUCCGGCGCUCCGUUCAGCAUCUGGAAGAGCAUAGCUCGCUGUGAGCGGCCGCCCCAGAAGACUGUAUCCCACCCAGCCAGCUCUCCUGCCUGCUUGCCUCUGCCCCACACCAGGACACUUCAUACUGUCAGAACCACUGGGUGUGUGAGCUUGUGAGAGGGUGUGUGGGCACACAUGUCCCUGUGUGGGGUGUGGAGGUCAGAGGGCAACUUGGAGGAAUUGGUUCUCUCCUUCCACCACUGGGGCCCAGGAAUCAAGCCGAGGUUCCCAGACGUGGUAGCAGCCUCCCUUACCUGUUAAACCAGUGCUUCCCAGACUUCCUAAUGCUGUGACCUCAUGCUGUGCUGACCCCCGCCCAUGACAUUAUCUCUGUUGGUAUUUUAUAACUGUAAUUUUGCUACUAUUAUGAAUCACAA